GAAUCUUUGAACGCACAUUGCGCCCGUUAGUAUUCUAGCGGGCAUGCCUGUUCGAGCGUCAUUAAGUCCACUCAAGCCCGGCUUGGUGUUGGGGCCCUGCAGCCUUUGCAGCCGCAGGCCCUGGAAAACAGUGGCGGGCUCGCUACAAACCCGAGCGCAGUAGUAAUACACCUCGCUUUAGGGAGUUGUGCGGGCGCCAGCCGUUAAACCCCCAGACCUCAAAGGUUUGACCUCGGAUCAGGUAGGAAUACCCGCUGAACUUAAGCAUAUCAAUAAGCGGAGGAAAAGAAACCAACAGGGAUUGCCCCAGUAACGGCGAGUGAAGCGGCAACAGCUCAAAUUUGAAAUCUGGCCUCGGCCCGAGUUGUAAUUUGUAGAGGAUGCUUUUGGCGCGGCUCCUUCUGAGUCCCCUGGAACGGGGCGCCGGAGAGGGUGAGAGCCCCGUAUAGUCGGCAGCCAAGCCUGUGUAAAGCUCCUUCAACGAGUCGAGUAGUUUGGGAAUGCUGCUCAAAAUGGGAGGUAUAUGCCUUCUAAAGCUAAAUACCGGCUAGAGACCGAUAGCGCACAAGUAGAGUGAUCGAAAGAUGAAAAGCACUUUGAAAAGAGGGUUAAAUAGCACGUGAAAUUGUUGAAAGGGAAGCGCUUAUGACCAGACUUGCGCCGGGCUGAUCAUCCAGUGUUCUCACUGGUGCACUCUGCCCGGCUCAGGCCAGCAUCGGUUUCUAACGGGGGGAUAAAAGCCCAGGGAACGUAGCUCCUC
rnacentral:rRNA from 1 species